CCUACGGGUGGCAGCAGUGAGGAAUAUUGGUCAAUGGGAGAGAUCCUGAACCAGCCAAGCCGCGUGAGGGAAGACGGCCCUAUGGGUUGUAAACCUCUUUUGUCGGAGAACAAAACCCGGGACGUGUCCCGGACUGCGUGUAUCCGAAGAAAAAGCAUCGGCUAACUCCGUGCCAGCAGCCGCGGUAAUACGGAGGAUGCGAGCGUUAUCCGGAUUUAUUGGGUUUAAGGGGUACGUAGGCGGUCCGUUAAGUCAGCGGGAAAAUUGCGGGGCUCAACCCCGUCGAGCCGUUGAAACUGGGAGACUUGAGUUGGCGAGAAGUACGCGGAAUGCGCGGGGUAGCGGUGAAAUGCAUAGAUAUCGCGCAGAACUCCGAUUGCGAAGGCAGCGUACCGGCGCCAGACUGACGCUGAGGCACGAAGGCGUGGGGAUCGAACAGGAUUAGAUACCCCAGUAGUC
rnacentral:rRNA from 1 species